CUCUCCUCUCCCUCAUCUCCCAGUGAGGACAGUUUUCCUUCAUCAGGCUGGAAACAGACUCACUUCUGUGUUCAGGAUCUGACGACGCUUCCUGUGGCCGCCGCCCCCCCCGGUCUAGAUGUGAGGCGUGGCCUCUGCGUUACGUCCAGGUGUGAGGCGUGGCCUCUGCGUUACGUCCAGGUGUGAGGCGU